rnacentral:rRNA from 1 species
CUACGGGUGGCACCAGUGAGGAAUAUUGGACAAUGGGCGAAAGCCUGAUCCAGCCAUGCCGCGUGAGUGAAGAAGGCCUUAGGGUUGUAAAUCUCUUUCAGUGGGGAAGAUAAUGACGGUACCCACAGAAGAAGUCCCGGCUAACUCCGUGCCAGCAGCCGCGGUAAUACGGAGGGGGCAAGCGUUGUUCGGAUUUACUGGGCGUAAAGAGCGUGUAGGCGGUUUAAUAAGUUGGUAGUGAAAGCCCAGGGCUUAACCCUGGAAUGGCUAUCAAAACUGUUUUACUGGAGACAGGUAGGGGAUAGUAGAAUUCCUAGUGUAGAGGUGAAAUUCUUAGAUAUUAGGAGGAAUACCGGAGGUGAAAACGGCUAUCUGGGCCUUGUCUGACGCUGAGACGCGAAAGCGUGGGGAGCAAACAGGAUUAGAUACCCUAGUAGUC